rnacentral:lncRNA from 1 species
CGUCACUCGUUCGCUUGUUCACUCGUUCGCCCGUACCGCCACAUCGCACGUUCGUCUACUAGAAAUCCAUAACAUUACUUGACAGAUUUAGCACUCUGAUCUUCUCAGUGGAUUUUUUUCUGUCCGUGUCCGUCCACUACACACCAGGUAAAAUGUCAUUAUUGUUAUUAUUAUUAUUUUUUUUUUUCAAAUCCACGGUUUUUAAACGCGACUUUCGCAAUAUAUUUUCGCCGCGCGAAUAGCGAUCGACGACGGUGACCCCGUACAUACAAACGUCAGUACAUACGUUCAGACGUCUCGUUUCAACAACCCCGUUUUGUCGUGUAAUGAAAAAAAAAAUAAUAAUAAAAUAAUAAAAAAAAGCGCGUCCAAAUAUCAGUUUAUCGAAAAUCGAAUAAAUUUAAAUAUUCAAACAAAUUUGUUAAAUCGCUCGGAUGCUUUUUUUUUUUUUUUUUUUUUUUUUGUAUUGCGAAGACGCUACGAGUUGUUCGAUUUGAUCUCUGUAGACUCAGUCGUUAUAUAAUAUGCACGCGCACAUUUUCAUAAUAACACUGAUUUUUUUUUUUUUUUUUUCCCCCGUUCAAUUUCGCCUCUUUGUUAUUUUCAGCGCAAUUUUCGGCGUUCAAUUAUUAUUUGGCGCAACUUUCUGUACAAAUCGGUUUUACUAUGUACAGUUUAUUUUAAUUAUUUUUCUUUGUUUUAUUUUAUACUGCGCAACAACAUCCAAACCCUGUACCUCGGCGGUAACAACCGUUAAUCUCGAUUUAUGUACAUCACUGCGCAUUAUCAAAACGUAUUAUUUACUAUGUUAUUAUUGUUUUCGGUCCCUCGUAGAGAUUCGCACUAAUCGGACGGCUUUUGUAGAAGAAAAAAGCAAUUAAAAGCGUUCCUAUACACCUACGAGUACAGAUGCGAGUAUUUAGUUAUUUUUUUUUAUUAUUUCGACGUAUUUGUCCUUUAACGUGUAAAAGGUUUAACUUUAGUUUCUCUCUCGAAAAAUUACACAUUUUAACGAAGACGCCGAUCGACGAGAAAAAAAAAAACGAUUUUACACUCCACUAAAACUCUUGGGUGCCAAAACCAUUUCCUUCCGUCGCUCUCUGUCAUACGGCGCCUGUUUCCAGUCCGCUCCAUUUUCUCCUAUUAAUUAUUUCCCUCCCCUAGGUUUCUUUGCUCUCAUCACAUCUGUCGAUACACUUUUCAGCUCUUUACAGGCCAUAGAUGGCCUGCCCAUUCUAUCAUUGUCCCUCUAAUCGACUUUGACUACGUCUCAUCUUGUGCGUAUUAUAUAUAGUUGGUAUAAUUGAGCGUUAGUUUAUAUUUUAUAUUUCUAUUCCACGUCGUUGUUUACGAGUCCGUAGGUUUUCCUAAAGAUUUUACUCUCAAAUACACGUAGUUUUUCCUCAUUUUUUAUCGCCAUUACUUACGCGUACGUCACUGCAGGUCGGAUGUAGAGCUUGUAUGUAAUUUUUUUUUCGUUUCCCUUAACCACAGCUCAAAUCUAAAGAAGUUUUUUUACACAUUGGUUCGUAAAGAACCUAAUUAGAUAUUAAAAACAACUAACAAAAAAACACCGUCUAUCAUGAAAAUAACAUUUAUUAUUUUGUACGAUUAUACGGCUGUGGACAAUAAAACGUAUAAAUUAUCGGUAAAACGAUCGUUUAUAUAAAGUAGUAAUAAUUUGUAAUAAAACAGCAUUACUUUAUUAUGUUUUUUUUUGGUCGAUAAUUUAUAUAAUUUAAUAGUUUAACGAUUAUUUACAAAGGCGUUUAAACAUUUUUAAAAAUACUCGUCUAAUUAUUUUUGGGAAGGAAGUAGGGGGAUCGGUGAACGUUUCCCGAAUUUUCUCCAAUUAUGUAAACAUUCAAACAAAUUGUUCAUCGCCAGACGAACACGACUUCUAUAAUAUCAGUGGGCUCGAUACGAUUUAGGUGGACUUGGCCGCCUAAAAUACUUUAUGAGUGCAUUUUCGACAUUUUUUUAAAAAUACGAUCAGUUUUCAUUUUGUAUGAUAUCCGAGGAAAUAAUUACAUUUCUAUUUCCGACAUAUUAUCCUUGUAAAGAACCUAAAGGGUCAUCAAAAAAUCGAAAUCCGUCAAACUAAAUUCCUACAGUUUUGUCUCGUUUUUAGGUCUAAACCGACGAACAUAAUACACGGUCUCCAAUCUCCGUAAAACCGAUUUUGUGUUGCUAGUUUAUAAAGACUUCUAAAUAGAGAUCGGACGUGUGUUCACUUAAAAUCCUUAAAAAAAAUAUAUAUAUAUAUAUAUAUAUAUAUAUAUAUAUUUUAAAAACACUAAACAAAACCCUGCAGAGUGGCUUACAAAUUAUUGAAAAAAAGCAAAAAAAAAAAAAAAAAAAAAAAAAAAAAAUGGUAGACGAAUUUAAAUAAUCGUUCUUCUAACGAUUUUAACUUAUUGAAAUACAAUUUUCAAACGCUACAAAAAUAAUUAACGCAAAGUACUUUUUUUUAUAAUUUAAAUAGUUCAAAUAUUUCAAGAACAUAUUCACAAAGUUAACGUUAGAGUAUUUUGUUAUUAAAUCAGCUACUUCAAACAUUCUGAGAAUGUCAUGAAUAUUCUAAUUUCAACUUAUGAAUAAUAUUUCUAAAAAAUGAACGUUACGUUUAUGUUAUCUGGAAAAUGUAUGUAUAUAAUAUUAUACUAACACAGACUAGUAUACUGAAAAUCAAAAGAUUUUAAAUCGCCGUAUGUAAUAUGAUGACGUGUGUUUUUUGUUCGGAAAAAAAGGCACACGUUUUGUACAAUACUAUACGGCUUGGGCCGUUAAAAACUGUUAUUUCGGCUAUUUGGCGACUUUACUAAUUGACAGGAGUUACGCCAUUGGGCCAUUUUCGAAAUUUAAUUAGCUCGGAGUGUUGAAAACUGUACAUAAUCGAUCAGAUAAGCCCUUCUGUCCUUUCUGUCCAACGAUACAGGUGGGUAUUUAUAUUAAAACGAUUACGAAAAAAAAAAAAAAAAAAAAAAAACAACAUAUAAUAAUAAUAUUGUGCAUCAGCAUACAAUACUACACUGAUAUACGGUAUUAUAUGAUGGGAAUAAUCGUGUUAUUAUAACUGCGGCAGGCCGCGGUCGAUGUGAAAGAAAAAUACGGUUUUGAACCGUUCGCCGUGAGUUAGGCCGUACAAUAAUAAUAAUAAUAUUAUCGUUUGAUCAAACAUAAAUGACGAAAUAAAAUGCCAAAAUACGCGCGUAUUAUGACGGACGGUUUAUGAAAGCACAGCGAAAACACCAAUUUAACAUCGUUCGUCAUACGGACGAUGGGAAUAAAAUACACCGACGAAAUAUAAUUUAUUUUAGAACGCGUAUAAAACAAUCGACUCACUCGCGUUCAUAAUGAUACAACGGAAUAUAGUAAACGGAUUUAUAUGCACUUAAAUGUCCACGCGAAAAAACUGAAAAAAAAAAAAAACAAAAACAAAUCAAAAUACAAAAACGUUAAAAGUGUUUUAAAAGUCUUCGACCAACGGCUAUAAGUAAUGAGAUGCGAUUUCCCAACGCUACAAAAAUCAUCAUGAACACAAAGUAAUUUUUUCUUCUAUAACAUACGCGUAAUGCGUUUUUAAAAGAAAUCGCUUUGUGUUUAAUAAUUUUUGCAGCGUUAGACAAUUGUUUUUGAUCCGUUAGAGGAGGGGGUCUUUUAAAUCCAUCCAUACCGUUUUUAAUAUUUUCCAUAUUUUUAAGUGCUUUAAACUUUUUUUUUAUAUAGAUUUAAAGUACGUAUAAAUCAAACAUUUAAUCCAAUUUUAAUAAGAUGGCGCUAUAACUGCAUAUUAUGUUGUCUCAAUCUUACAAACGUGCGUCCAGAAGCAUAAUUUUUUUUUGGUGGGGAGGGGAAAAACGGCGGUGUUGCACGGGUUGCCCUUCACGUACCAUGCAAUUUAGAUCAAAUAAUAAAGGUAAAUAAAUUAAGUGAGAAAUAAAAUAGCUUCGAAUAAUUAUUGAAUGUCCAAUGCUAAUUUAAGGCGAAGGGGCUUGGCCGAGAAUGGUGAGAUUUUUUUACAUAAAUGUUUUUUUUUGUCCAUUAUACCGACUCUCCUAAUUAUCGGAAAAAAAAUCUCUGAAAACAUAUUUCAAUUCGUUAUGAAGUAUAUAUAUAUUUGACUAUUUUACGUUUUUUAAUUCAUUUUGUUUUUCAAUUUUAUUAACGUUUUUACAAUUCCAAAAAGAAAAUUACGUUUUGAAGGGUUUAAGAGUUACAUUUCAAACUAAACUUCGUAAAAAAUGCAGACAUGUCUCCAGGCGUUUUAUCCGAUUACUAUAGGACAACUGGCGUACGAUUGGCCUAAUAUUUGGGUCUAUUUCGACAGUGCAUACGUACAGUCGAGAAUCGAAAGUCCGUUAUAAGUCACGUCUCGAUUUUUGUUUAAUAUUCCGUCAAAUACUCCGACAUAAUAAACGUUAAAGUGUAUUCGAUUCGAUUCGAACAGUAUAACAACAUUAGGUAUUUAAAUCGGUUUACAAAAUGUUCACCAAACUGUAUUGAUAAACUUCAAAACGGUUAAAUUUCAAACCGUUCGAACGUUAUCAUCGUUUAGACGUACCAUUAUUGUAACCGUAAAAUUAUAAUUUUGUUAUUACAGACGUUUGACGGCGAACAACGGUAUUCGAUUAUUUUAGAUUUUGAGUGAAUCAAAGAAGCUUAUUGUUUUACGAAAAACGUUUAUUACUUUUUUUUUUUCAUCUGCGGACAACUUUUCUAUCAAAAAUGUUGCUCCGAUUUUAGAGUGUAGCACCUUUUUUGAAAGGAAAUCGGGCGGGCGAGAUAUUUUAAAAAGGUAAUUUUUUGAUUUUCUCAGGAGCUUAUCAAUAAAUGUGAAAAACCGAAAAAAAAAAACUGAGGGAAAACGGGAACAAUGUACGAAAUGAAGUAUGGAUGAAAAAUAUGUUGGCCACUUUUUUUUUCCUGUGAACAUGAUUUCUACCAGCAAUUUCGCUCUUAUUCACAAUCAUAGAACUUUUUCUGAAUGGAAAUUUGACUCAGAAGGUACUUUAGGGAUUUUACAUUUAUUUAAUUUUCUCAACAAAUGGGAAAGACCGGGACAAAACAUGAAAAAACCGGGAAAACCGUAGGAAAAACGGAAAAAUCGGAUUAAUAUUGAGCGAGUAUUAUUAAAGAAAAUACAUAAUACCUAUUUAAUUAUUUUAUCUUAGUAUGACACAUAUAUAUUGUUGACAUAUAUAUCACUAUAAACUGAACUCCAAUAAAAUCUCCGGCCACGAUUGAUCGAUUAUUUUACUAACUCUGUUUAAUAAUCAACGUUUACGUUGGUGAGAACGGGCCUAAGAAUCGUUUUUUCGUCAGCAAUGGUUUAUUGUUGCUUACAGAUAUACAUUAAAUUCCCUUCUGUAUCGUACUUCCCCGACUUCCAUUUAUAACAGUGGCUGCACCCCCACACGCGAAGUUUGUCCGUCUUUUUUUUUUUGUAUACCAUUUUCCAUAAAAAAACAAAAUAAAUAAACGUAAAAAAAUUUUUCUGUUGCGGUGUAAGUAAAAAGGUAUAAUAUUAUAAUAAUUGCAUCCCGGAUAUUUCUUGAGCACGUCCGAUACUGCGUUUUACCUGCGAUAAAUUAAAUGUCUAAACGACAUUUUAAUGGCUUAUCGAGUAUUGUAUCGAUUGCACAAACGAUUACGAUUUAACUUUGAUGGUUUCCUAGUAUGUUUCGCGUUGCAUACAAACCCAAUAAUCGCAUUAUGCUGUGGACGAUUAUUUAGUCGGUUGACCAAUACCCGAACACGUUUACAACAACGAUAAAAUUACAAAACGCACCACGCGGAAUCGAAAUAUUAUAACGAGCGAACCGAUAUUUUUUAUCUGCCGAAGUAGGCAGGUAGUGAGUAACUAUUUAAGCGAAUAAGUGACGAUAGUAGGAAAAUAUUGUUCGGUUUUUUUUUAUAAUUUACAGGACACAGCAAUUGUAUAGUAUAUAAUAUACUAUUAUGUAGAUACACAAAUAAUCAGGACGCAAUUUCGGAAGGAAUUGUUGCUGCGCGGGACGCAUUUCGUAUGCAGCCCAAUAUUGUUCGUUCGUAAGCCUUUCACCGCUAUAAUCGCUUUGAUAACUAUUCGCGUUUUUUCAUAUACGAUUCGUGUACGUAGGUGGAUACAUGCACGUAGGUAUACGCGUAUAACCCCACUUAUAGUUGUUUUAUUCUCUUGGCCCGAAAAUGCUGCUAUAAUAAUCGCGUCGUCGUUGUAAAAAUAUUUUGAGUCAUACGCCAAAUAUACGAGCGUCGUCGCGUGUCCGUUACGAUAAUGCGAAAAACCGACACUGUAAUAAUGUUAUACUGUUAUGUAUUGAAAAACAAGAAAAUGCUAUCGUCGCGAAAUUAAAAAAAAAAAAACGUUGUCGCCAAACGCGAUAAAGAGAUUUUCCGUGUUGGCGCGCGUAAAAACUAUAGAGAACUAUUAAUCCGCGCACUACCGAUCCGGAUCGAAACAAACGUUUACAAUCCGCGUAAUCCGGAUUACGGGAUAAUACAAAUAAUAACGCAAUAUAAGUAUUUUAUAAUCAACGACGAGAAUAUUUAUUAUUAUUUCAAUAUAAAUUUUCUACCUGCAGCAAUUUCGCUCGGAUUUACAAUAACAGCACUUUUUCAGAAAGGAAAUCUGACUGGGGAGGUACACUUCAGGGAGGUGAUUUUUCGAUAUUCUAAUGAGUUUACCCGAUAAACGAGAAAACAGGGACAAUAUUAACGAAAUAUUAUUAAAGAAAAUAAUAUGUAACGCGUAUGUAAUUAUUAUUUUACCAUAUUAUGACGUGUGUAUCGCAGUGUAACACUAUCGACCGAACUCCGCGUACAGAUGUAUACAUUCAAUUUCUAUUAUAUCCACUACGCAUACCCGCGCCCAACUUAUCAACUACAACAACGGCCCACCCAUGUGCGAAGUAUAUUGUCCGUUUUUUUUUGUUCACCUACUAUAUAGUCCAUUAUAGUGAAACGAACGGGUCGGAUCCGAGAAUCCGGAUAAAACGGAUCGAUCUCCGGAAUUCGGAUCGCGAAUACAACCGUAAUCCGGAUUCCGGAUCCGGUCAAAUUAUCGCUCGGCACCAGCGAAAGCGUAUACUUUUAGACGGAGCAAGGUACCGAAUGGGCGGCGAAUAAAAAACCGCGAGCGCUCGAAUUAUUGUCGGCGAAAAGAAAACGCACGCACAAAUACACACACACACACACACUCAGUGGUCGGGCGAUAUAACCGCCACGCGAUUCGCAGAACGUCCACAACAAUAUGCGAAAAUCGAACGGGGAGGGAAAGGGGAAAAUGAACCCGAAAUGGAACGUAACGAUGAUACUUAUAUCCAUAAUAUAUCGCUGUUGUGUUCACGCAGUACCCAAGUAUAUAUUUUUAUGCGGCGCGUUUACCUAUUAUAAUGAAAACUGUAUGGACGUGUUUCGUGUAUACCUGUACCUAUAAUAGUAUACGAGUAGUCCGUGCCAAAAUACGAUAUUAUUUCAAUGGGCUUUUUGACCUGUGUCAAACGUUUAAAUCGCGACGCACACUCGUGUAUGAUAUGGCUUCCCCUCCCCCUUAUUUUUAUAUCGUGAAAAUAUUCUGACACGUUGACAGGUCGCCCAUCGAACAUUCCCGACAGCUGGUGGUGAUUAAUUCUCAACAAGACGCUCGUUAUAAAAUGUGUACCUCGGAAAAUGUUAACUUUUUUCGCGGGAUUAUUUACUUUGGAAAAUUUGAAAAGAAUAUAAAAAAAAAAAAAAAACCCGAGCAGCUUUAAAUAGGGUUACGUUGCCGUUAAUUUUUGUUAUCGCUAUUUUUAAGGGGCGAAACCAUUAUUCGUUUUCUAUUCCCAAACAUACCGACCGUACAUUUCGCGGUGUUGACGUUUCGAAUUUCCGUCGACGAGAUAUUCCGCUCUUAGGUUGCGGGUCUCUGAAGAGUUAUAACGGAGCACCGUCCAAACGUUAUUACUCUCAUAUAUACUACACUUGCAAAACAAUAAAUUGAAAAUCGGAACGUCUCGUCAACGGGCCGACGGACCCGUUUAAAAUGUCGACACCGAAAUCCAUUUAAAUUAAAACUGUUCGUGGAAUUUGCAGUGUAUAUGUAGCUGUUUGAAAACCAUAAGUGAAUAUCCCCUUCCUCCUCUUCCACUAACAACAAGGAGGGGGGGGGGGGAUAUAACGAUAACGUAUAAGAGCAGCUGUUCGUUUCGUUAAUUGUCCGAAAUGAAAAAAGUUAACACUUUCUGGAAUAGCGAUAGUCACUUCUAAUCGAGAAUUGAUCACCUGUAAAACACAAUUAUAUACUGUUAUAAUAACAUAGUAAACCGACAAAAUCACCACAAUUUCGGAGUUCAACUGCCGCGCACGUGUGCAUUCAUAGUUUCGUAUGGUCGGGAUAAUCGCGCGCCCUGUAUACAAAAUAACCCGCGGGACAUUUUUCUGAGAAUUAUUUAUUUUUUUUCUCGUUGUUAUUAUGCGGUUCCUGUCUGUUCAGCGAGGACGUCAACACCCGUCUGCGUCGUCUCCGGUACCGUACUCACGGGUAAUGCGACCGGUAAAUCAUCCCCCGAAGAGGUCAAGACCUUUGUGUUCUCUUUUGCGAUAGUAACUUGCAAAAUAUCAAGCGUGCAAUUAUUAAUAUUUGUACGUUAAUUUGUCGAACGUCGAUACAAUCGUGCGAUAUUUAAUACCUUUAAAUUAGUUAUAAGAUUCAUAGCACCCCUCCCCAUCCCCCCAAAAAAGGUCCUAUAUAGUUACUGGCCGUCUCCGUCUUACAAAAACGUACGGUGUGUAUAGCGAAUUCGCGUUUCGGCUGCAGGGCCAACUUUGCGCUAUUAAUUUUCGUUGUUAGAUGGAAUAAAAUUCACCUAUUUAUUAUUUAACGAUGUUAAACGUAAAACCGCUAUAUCUGAGCGACCGCGCGGGCAUUUUUCGAUGUUUUAAUUUUAUGGGCGUUUUUUUUUUUUUAAUUGUGAUAAUUCGCAUGAUCAUAAUCUCUCGCCAAAACGUUGAAAUAUCGCAAAAUACCAACGUAGUUGCACAGGCCAAUAUUCUUGGUUUUUAAGUUUUGAUAAUCGGUAAAUUACGACUAUGACAGCACAAAAUUAUGGUUGUAGUCUGUAGAACGAAAAUUUGUCAAGACAGCGCACGCGGGUGUCGCGUCAUCUGAAGCCUGUCUAUGGUCCACAUCAUACGCGAUAAUAUAUUUGCGACAUGCGAUACUGUGAUAUUACUAAAUAUUACCGUUUAUUUCAUAUUUGACGAAGUUUUAACAACAGAAUGGCUUAUCGGUGUAUUAUAAAAUAAAUGGUUAUAGGCACUAUCACAGUUGCGAAUAUCGCAACUCUUACGUGUGAUGUAGACAGGCUUAUAAGUCAAUGAUAGUAAUACUUGUAUCAUCAUUAACUAUCGUCGCGUGGACAUCGAUGCGUGAAUGUUUCUAUCACCAAACUGCGAGAGCGUUGGCAACUAACGCCGAUACUUACACAUAUAUCACUAUAGUUCGAUUUUACUGUCACGCCAUAAGUGUAUACAGACUUUUCUAUUGAAAUUAAAUUUAACUAUAUUAUGUCGUUUUUUAUUGCGAUAGUCGCAACACCAACAUUAAUUACGAUAGUAAUCAUCGUGUGUGUGUGCACUGCAGUAUAACAGUACGAUUUCGAUCAGAAGACUUCUAUAUUGCGAACCGAUCAAAACCUCCAUAAUAAUAUAAUAGAAGCUUAACGUGUAGCGGCGUAUAUCCGUGUAAUCGGUAUUUCUUGUUCUUUUCGAAAAGGGGGUAUACGUAUUUGUGAUAUUAUCGGUUUUCUAUUCGGUAAGCAAUUCGAUUUAUGUGCUAAUACAUUUUCUAUACCCGGGCAUACAAUUUCCAACAUGGGCGUGCUCGUUCUUCUGCAAAUAUUAUUUGUAACUAUUAAAAAUCGUCAAGUAAUAUUUUUUUCAAUUAUGUGAAUAUAAAUGUAUGCAUUCGAAUAUUUGAUAUUAAAUUAUUCCUGUAAAUCGUGAUGAUUAUUACUCGUAAAAAAAAAAGUUGAGCGUAAACGUGUCACGUAUUUUAUUUAUCUCAUUACCGAGUUACAAAAAAAAAAAAAAAACAACAUUUUCUAUGGGUUUAUUAAUUAUUUUGUAUUUUACAAUUUAGAUAAAAAGAUGAAUUCGUCGAGUUGCGCGUCGAAAAACACCGAUUACUAUCAUCAGAUGAGGCAGAAAAACAACGAGGCGGCCAGGAACAGCCGUUUCAAGAAGAAGGUGGCCGAAAUCGAAAUAUCCGCUCAAAAGCGCAAGCUGGAAGUGUCGUACGUGCAGCUGAAGAAGGAGAUCAAACGCAUACAGGUCGUGAAGGCGUCAUAAACUCCCGUCAUUACGAUUAAAAGGUUAGUUUGAUCGAUGUAUAUUAUAUUAUAAUAAUAAUCAGAACCGGAUUGACUAGAUCACAAGUCAGUCCGCAGUUAAACACUUUAGGCCGAGAGUCAACUUUUAUCAACAAUAACUAAUGGAAAUGGAAAAAUUAAUUUUUCAUAAAAAAAAAAAAUACUAGUAAUUAUAUCCAACUAUAUGAUAAAUAAAUAACUACAACAAGUCAUAGUCUCUUAAUCCCCACUAUAUAAUAUUGAAUAAAUGUGAUUGAAGAGGUUUCGGACGAUCCAGGAGACCCAGGCUUUCCUUAUUAAGCCACUGGGACUAAGCGACUUUAUCGUAUAAACGUCAAAUAUUAAAAAAAAAAAAAAAAAAAUUGAAAAAAAAGCGCCAACAAUUUUAAUUUUUCGAAAAACAUUUUUUUUUUUUUUUAAAUUUCAAUUAUAACUAUAGCUAACUAAAAAUUGCUUGGUCGCCUAGUUCCGAAAAAUCCACUGAGACGGCGCAAGGCCUCAUAAAGGAAGGAUCUCCAGUACCCUGCACGUCACCCGGUACGCGAGUUAAAAUUAGACCACUAAAAAAAAGCUUAUUAUCUCUUCAGUCAGGUAAUAAUAAAAAUAGAACGGAAUUAUUUCUGCGUUGGCAUAUAUUUUGUUAAUAAUGUUUUCGUUGUGUAUAUUAUGCAGUUCUUAAGUGUUUACAGCGCAUCGUAUUAUAACAAUAACAUUUUUUUUUUUUUUUUUAUAAUAUUUUAAGAAUAGGUACGUUUUUGUCCGACGGGCCAAAUUAUAAUACUGCAGACGAGAUAGGUCAGUCCGCUUUUGCCGACCGGCGGACCGUCUCAGUCCGCCCCUGCGUUAAUAAUAAUAUUGUAAACAUGUGUGUCCAUGUGUAAACGCGCGAAGUUUGACGGAAUAAAACGAAAACUGGAUUAGGUGAUCCCUCUGAAGGACUUUUUUUUUAACUUGUUUUUUUGAAGACGAUCAGACUGAAAACGAUCGAAUUGUUGUUCAAUAUACGACUACACUACACUCGCAUAUUGAUAUUAUAUUAUAUUCUUUCGAGUAAGUCUAGGAUUGCGUCGCGCGGAAAUCGUCGCAAUAUCCGCCGGUCGGAUAAUACCGUGCGGUUCGCGGGAAACCGACGAAGAUAAUUUUCAAACUGCCGCGGCGCGCGACGCGGAAAACUUUUCAAUUCGAGAAUAAUAUUAUUUCCGUCGUGGCUUACAAUAUCGAUUUACAAAAAAAAAAAAAAAAAUAAAUAAAAGUAAGAUUUCUCGGCCCGCGUAUUAUUAUUUCUGGAAAUUGCCUUUACGCUCGCGUUCUCGAUUUUCGACGCGUGACGACCAUGACCGCGACUCUACAGUCCCGGGGGAUUUGUAUAUUUACACCGCACGAGCUCUUAAUAAUCGUUUUCGUUUCAGUUUUUUUUUUCCUCUUCCCAUAAACCGAUCGUUUACUCGGGAGACUUUCAGUGAAUUCGAUUUCUGUGUUUGUCAACCGUUCUGGAAUCGUAUAUGCCUCGUUUUGAAACUGUUUUUUGCAAUUCGUUACACCGUAUUCGCAUUACGCCUCAAAUGAGUAAAUAUACUUUUGUGUUUUAAACAAGAACCCCCACCCCCGUCUUUUUAACACAAUCUCGAAUAGAGAACAUUUGUCUAAACAUUUUAUUAUGUAUGUACAUAACAGUUUACAAUGACCGGACGAGUAAGGGAAGGGUAAUUUCAUAUCAAUUUUCUGAUGAAAAAUGCAUUUACCAUUCCCCAUACUCAUCCAAAAUGUAAACUGUUCUUAUUCAACAAAACGAUCAAUCAAUUGAUCAAUCGGAUAUUACGCCCUCCUUUUUUUUUUUUUUUUUUUUUGGAAAAAUAUCCUCUUUUCGAAUCUGUGUUCAAAGGAGGGCGGGUAGAAUCAAAAGUCUACACUAAUUUCAGGUACAAUUAGUAGAGGUGGAAAAUUGUAAAUAGCGUUUGAUUAGAGCUUAAACCGGGGAUGGCCAACGUAGCUUUUUCUAUACUGUGCCAAAUUUAAAAAAAAAAAAAAAUUAAAAUAAUAGAGAUGUGCCAUGAAACACUAACACUCGCGUAUCAUUUACAAUAAUAUAACAAUAUAUAUUUAAUUUUUAAUAUAAAUUUAGAUACCAGCUUAAUAAUAUGCUUUUACAUCACGUUUCAUUUAAAUUAAAACAAUAAUACAAAUAAGUAUGAAAUUUAUUCUAUUUUCAUAACAAUUGUAGCGAUUUUUUUUUUUAACGGGAAUGUUGAAUUAUUUUUUCUUUUGACUAUUAUCUAUUCAUAGUUUGAUUGAAGUUUCGUUUCAUAAAUUGUUUUAAACGUGAACUUGUUUGCGUGGUGGUUCGGUACCCACGAUAGAAUCCGUCCGACAAAAACUUAGUACACAUAAUAUGUGUAUGCCGAGUUAAUUCCGCAGACUAAUUUCAACGUCAGAAUUUUCCCGUCGUUUCCAAUUCGACAUCAGACAACUCUUUAUGUUUAAAACUGUUGUAUUUCGAAGGUCAAUAAUCGCACCCGAGGGUUGAAUUUCCGGAGAUCGCGUGUUCGGUGCGUCGGACGGAUUAAUAAAUACGUUAUUCGUGUAUAUCUUCUUAUUGGUCUUUAAAUCCGCCGAAUAUUUCUUCGGUCUCGUUGAUACGGGCGUGAGUUCAUGACGCGGUAUUUUAUCCGAAACUUUAUAGUGUGCCGUCCGACAACAUCGAAUGCGCCUUGGCCAAAGGCGCGCGUGCCGCAGGUUGGCCGACCCUGCGGCUUAAACGGUCCCACAAUGACGGGGCGGGGUGGGGGGAGGGGAAACGAAAUCGCCGGUUCGUGGCAAGCGGAUCGUCCGGUAUGUGACGUCGCAUUAUAAUAGGUGCGCCUAUACGACGAAUGUAUCGGGAAGAGUGACCGGUGGCGGACUAACAAAUUGUUGCCGGGUCUCCGCCGGCGAAUCUCGUUCAGAUCCAGUGUUUAUUGUAUGGGUAGGUGCCCGCGAUUCGUACGAAAAAAUCCUUUUCGUCGCGAAAAUAUUUCCCAAAAUGCGUACAUUAUAAUAUAAUAAUAUGGUACAAUACUGUUUGAAUUUGUAUAGGUGCGCGAUACACAACUGGCGAACCGUUUCGCGGGGGGUUAAAACGGUAUAAUAUCGUACGAUAAUAAUAAAAGUGUGGGUGUAUACACCUGUUCGCCGUUUGACUGCGACCUACUAUUCAAUAAGAAUACACGUUAUACGGGGCGAUUCCGUCCUCGCCGUCAGAACUAACCUACGCUCGUGUUAUUAUUAUACGUAUCGUCGUUAUGUGCACAGGGAAAUGUUCGGCCGUGUUUUCGGCGAUUUCUGUACAAUACCGACGUUGUGGUUACGCAAUUCUCGCUUUCUCGAAACGUUUCGUUGUUCUACACGUAUGUUUUUCGUCAUUUUAGCGGUAAAACCGCGCCACGGGAAUUUGAUUGUUUCGGUUCCGUCGAGUCGAAAUAAAUUAUUCGUCGACCGCCGCGGGAACUUAGUGCUUCCCACUGUUCGGUUCUUUUCUAGAAAAAAAAAAAAAAACAAACACACAGAAUUGUACAAUAGUAAAAACAAUGAUUUAGCCUGAUUCAAUCGUCCAUUUCUAGUACCAAUAAAACACCCGAUUUACGUAUACUCGUCGUAACAAUAGCAUCGAUUAUAAAAUAGUAUGCACAUUAAAUCUUGGUACUAUUUUAAAAUCGAUUAUUUAAAAUUAAAAAAAAAAUACGGUUGUAGGCGAAAAUUCGGGAAGGUAUCCUGACCUUAAAUAAAGUUCAUUAAAUUCUUAUAUGUACGCAACGAUAUGAACCAUUACGAAACGAGUUUCUGAGCGAAGGUCGGUUAUGUACAUGUUUAAAAUAUCGUAAUUUUCGUAAGCAUUGGUUAACAUAAUACAUUUGAAGUAUAACCAAAAUGGUGAUAAUCAUACGAUUAGUGAUUAGUGAUAACUCCAUGUAGAUUUUCAUGAAAUAUUUAAAAUCCGCGAAAAGAUUAAUUCGAAAAUAAAUUAAUGCAUUUCAAAGACAAUGCGAUUGUAUUACGUAUAGAAGAAAAAUUAUCUUGUAACCUAUCCAAACUUAAUUUUAGCCCUUCCCCACCCUUCCGAAAAAAAUUAAAAUUUAAUAUUAAAUUUUCAAAUAGACUUUUAUUACUUUUUUUUUUUUUAUCCCGAAUUAUAAAUGUUCACAGAACGCUUUACAAUUUUGCUAAUAUUAAUUUAUAAACUACCCGUAACUAAGUAAUAGAAAUAUAAACAAUAAUAUUUAAUGAACAAAUUAUUAAAUUAACUGUGAAAAUUAACUUGUAUUCGAAACACGCGUCGAAUUAAAUAAGUGUAAUUCAAAAAUUACAAAGUUAAUCGUUUUCUUAUCAUGUAUAACUCGGUAUAACUUGUUUGUAAUUUUUUAAUUACUCCAUAAACCCAGCAGUUUUCCCGGAUGUAUUUUUUGAGAAUGAAACUCGACUUUUGCGUGCGUUAUUCUCGUCGCACGGUCCGCGAACAUUAUCUCGUGUAUCGGAUUUCCACUAGACCCCAGGGCAUAGUGAACAUCCACUGUUCGUCUCUUAAAAAAAAAACUCCACUCGCACUAAACGACACCUUUCGCUAAACUUUCGCACUUUCCGAUAUGCGCUUCCCUCCCGCCAGUGAGAGUGUUUCCUAUUGUAUUGUAACGUAUAAUAAACCGAUUAGUUUGAUCGUUUGCCGUUUAUUUUCUAGCGGACGCGCAGUAAACAAAUUUCACUCCACUGGACGUACAACGGACAUUUCGAUGUUUCCGUUUGGACCCCGAAAAGUCCUCCGUUAAAAAAAAAAAAUUUUAAAAAAACGCCCGGCUCCGUUCAUAUAGAAUUUACUCCGUGAACUGUUCACGGACACCAACGGUGUUAUUAUUAAACGAAAAUUAUUGUUUUGUUCGCGGCACGUGUAUCGAAUGUCGGUUUUGAAAAACAUUAUUUAAAUGAUAUUAUUAAAACGCAUCUCCGUAGACGUAUUGUACAUCUAUGCGCAAUAAAAUAGUGUAUUAAUGUCUGGGGACCGAUGAAUUGUUGGCAACGCGUUAGACCAGUGAGUAUUUAAUAUAUGUAUAUAUAUAUACCUACUAACUCCGGUGCGUUCCAAUUAUUACCGUGUUAUAAUUUGUACAGGGUGUUAUUUUUAUGCUAUACCGUAUAUGUGCGCAGCGCCGUUUGUUUACGAAUAGAUUUGGAGUGAAUCCGAUACCUACUCGUGGAAAUAAUUGUCGAAAAUAAAAUGAAAACGCGUCCCGUCGCAACGGAACACGUUUUCAUGUCUCUGAACAUGUCUUACUGCAAUGAACACUGUCAGUUUGGAAAUUGAAUUUAUUUUUCUCCCGGUGUUUUAAUUCUUCACGAAUUGCGUUUAAAAAUCUAUGAGUUUAAAAAUAUCCAAAACCGUCUGUUAUGGCGCGAUUCGAAAGUGUCCUACCCGGUUUCCGGUUUUGUUGGGUUGCCGACUGAAAUCGAAGCUUAUUGAGGAUCUUGGAUUGAUGACGUCGUCAAGCCACGGUGCUUCCUCUCUAUUUCGACUUUUGAGAUUUUUUUUAAAAAAAAAAGAAAAGGUAUUUUCUUACCCGGGUAAACCUAUACAAUUUGUUUGAAAAAUGUCGGCAACUCCCAUUGUAUUUAACUGCUAUGCAUUCGAUAAGAGAAUAUUUUCACAGACAAUUAGAUACCAAUAUUAUAGAUGCGAGUAAAUUUAGACCGGACGAGUAAGGAACAAGAGUUGGUGAUAAAAUUGCACGUGUCUAUCAAGUUAAUAUUAUAAACUAUUAUUCGUUUUGAAAUGUGAACAUUAUUAUGUCUGAAAUAAUACAAUUAAUAAUUUAAUCGAAUUAACGUUCAAAGGUUAUUCGUAGGCUUGUACAGAUUUGCCGGUUAGUAGUUUGUAUAUUAUGAUAAUGAUCAAACGAGCACCCUGUAUAUAGAUACGUGUAUUGUUUGCCGUAACUCGGGUCAAACGUUCGGUCACUCGACGACUAGACAAACUCCUUUGCGACAAAAAUAACCUUUUCAAAAUAUAAUAUUAUAUUAUAAACGCCGGCGUUUAAUAUACGAAUCGCUACAGUUUUACCAUUAAAUUAAUAUAUACUGUCCAGUAUUUUCUUAAAUCUUUUAUUUUUUUUUUUCAAUUCGGAAAAAACAUCAAUACGACAUCUGUUAUUAUGCAUGUACCCUGUCCUCCUUAGUGUAAAGGCACCUCCUAAGUAUUGGCGACAUAGUCAUAACUCAUAUCAUGUAGUUUUCAGAAAAAUAAUAUUUUAUGAAUCGCCUUGUUUUCCUGAUUCCUAUCGAUACAAAACAAAAAAACCGAAUGCGAACUAUAGUACUAGCAAAAUUAUUGUAUGGUGUGAUUACGUGCUCAGCGGUUACUGCCUUUUCGCUUAUGGUCAGUAUAGAAAGUCAGUAUCUAUAUUAUUUUUUUAAAAAAAAAACACGUGUAUAUAACCACGUUUAUUAUGAAAUCUAUUGCAUUUACGGUAUUUUUACUCAGGGUCAGAAAGACGCGUUUUAAAAAAACAAAAACCAAAACGAAUAUUUCGAUACAAAAAAAGCAAUUUUUCAAAUUCUGUCACUUAAUACUGCCCUUUAGGUCCAGGAUGGCGGUAUUCUAUUUAUAAUAUUCGUCAAGGAGUAUUCGAAAAUACCACGGGCCACCCCGCCCCGGUUUUGUGCUCGAACACUGCGGACACAAAGCCCACGUCCGGUCCGCGUCAUUAUUAUAACCCUUUUUUUUCUUCUUCUUCUGAUGACCGGCUGAUGAAUUGCGAAUUAUUUGCGGUCCUUUAGUUUCGCUGCACACGCACAAUACAAUACGUUUUUACACGAUAAAAAUCUGUGUGGUCUUAAAUCUGUUUCCUCGCUCGCCACCACGACGGCAAGACUUAUUUUUAUUCGUUCAAAAUCCCAUUGAUGCCGUUCGCACACCUGCGUUCGCGUAAUAAUUUGGCGUGUCGAUCAUGGUAAUAAUAAUAUCAUACACACUCGGAGCCGUGUCGGGCCAUUCGGCGCCCAGGGACAUCGAUUUUUAAACGCCCCCUUUUAAGAUACUUCACUCGAGUACGAUUUGAAGGAUGAAUCCCCCCCUCCCACCAAAAUUUGUUAUUUUUUGUGUGUUACAAUUUUUUUGUAAAUUCGUAUUAAAAUUUUAACAUUUUACAUCCACCAAAUGAGAUUCUUCGUUACGCUUGAAUUUGUUUUUCUAGAUACGCAUAUUACGUUACUCGGUUGUACCCGCGGUCUUGUAAUUACCAAACAAUAUUAAUUACUGUUUUAAGCAAAUAACGUUUGAAAACAAAACAAAUAACAAGCGACAGAACAAUAGUGAUAUUGUUAAUUUUAUUUCGAGUUUUACGUUGAGCCGGGUGCCCGAUUGUUUUAAAAAGCUCCGACGCCCCGGGGCAAAUGUCUCCACUGCCUUCUCCCCUUUAACACGACCCUGUAUAUUAUGGCGAUUGGUUUCCGCGGAACACUCGCGGAGGUUAAGUGUACGCUCUCAUUAGCUAUUAGUUUUGAAAAUGUACGAUGCACACACGCAGUUCUAAAAUUGUUAUGUUUUUUAACGUUUUGUGUUUGUUGGCAGUGCAUUUUUGAAUUUCGAAUGACGGCGUAUCUUGCAGUAAAAUAAUUCCACGAGUCACAGAUAAAGUAUGUUUUAUAUAGUUGACAUUAAUUCGAGUGUUGAAACGUUUAAUUUAUCUAAGAAGAUAUAUCACUGAUCACUGCCACUGGUCGGUGGUUUUUUUUCUUCUUUAAGAGACGCUAUAGUUUCUUCCUACUAUUUUUUUUUUUAAACUAUGCGUCAUAUUGUACAACGUUUGUCAUCAGACCUAAUACUUAACGUAAAAUUAUAAAAAUAAUAGUACGAGUACAUCGUGCGCAUACCAGUAUAUCACUUGAUGGUAGAUUAUUCCCAAACAGAAAUAAACUCUAAAGGGAUUACUUAUAUACUAGUCUUACUGACAAAAAAAAAAAAAAAACAAAAUCACUCUGUAUACUUAUAAUAUAUAAACUUACACACACACACACACACACACAUACAUACAUACAGAUAUUGUGCUUGUUAUUAUAAUAUUCGUUCAGCUGAUACGUGCGCAUAAAUAUAGCCGGAACGCAUUUUCGUCGUCGUCGUACCUAACACGUUUUUUAAUCGUUAUUGUCCUACCUAACGCACAAUGAAAUAAUUUUUUCUCACUAAUGCGCGCGUAGAUAGUAAAAUUUAAAAAGAACGAAAACUGCGUACAAUAUAUUUCGUGAUACGCCUGGAAUUUAGGAGAAAAAAAAAUCUGUAUAUACAUUCAUAAUAACAAACACGUUAAAAACGCGUAUUGGCCAAACUUGUGCAAUGUAUAAUAUUUCGACGGUGUUUUUAUUGUACAGGUACACCUACUUACCUAAUACCCGGUUAACUUGAAUAAAUUUUUCCUCUCCUCCUCGAAAUCAAACUAUCCGUAUCCGGUACUUAUAUACCGAACUGAAUAAACGCGUUUUAAGUUUAGAGUGCCUACCCGCACCUAUAGCUCACGCUCUAAACUCGCGAAACGCACAGUCUGUAAUAUUAUAGUUUACGAGUACAUGCGAAUAUUAUUAUUGUAAAAUAAAUAUUAUUAUAAUUGCGUGCCACUCGUGGCUUAAAAUAAAUAUUUUCAUUUUCAAUUAUACUUCAAUAAAUUACCGUAAUAUCGCUUAAUAUUCUACACUAUAGAAAUGUAAUCUAUACAUUUUGUGUAUUCUACGUUUUUAUCUGCAUUGAUAAAAUGUUUUAAAGUGUAUUUUCUGAUACUUAAACAGUAUAAUAGUUUAAAAAAAAAAAAAAAACAACACGAUCUUAAAAACGUAGCCUGUUAUUAAAUUGACGAAUUAUGUUCAGAUUUAUUACCGUAUCGUAAUAGAUUUUCGCCCGCUCGUACUUAAGUUGAAAAAAAAAAAUUGUCUAUUUCCCCACGGAUAUUUCUAUUAAACAACAAAAAAUCAUGGCGACAUACAUGACGGUAACACCGCCAUAAUACUAUAAAUAGGUACGUUAUGACCUUACCAGCAGUUUACCGAGCACCGAUCAGAAUCGUUUUGUGAUUGCAAUAAUUUAUCGUUCGGCAUAAAAACUAUAAAUACCGCCUACGACCCGUAUUCUAUAAUACCCACGAAAGAAAAUGUUGAUUUUUUUUUUUUGUUCGAGACGGUUAAAAAUAAUCGUGGAGAUCUGUAUUUUUCACAGAAUGCGUGUAUAUUAGCUUCUUCUAAAUGUGAUAAAAUCGUUUUAUGCAUUCUAGCGAUUUUUCAGCUAAUUAUUUGAGAGGCAUUUGACAUUUUUUAGUUUUUCUUCGGUUUAAUGUGGAUAAAAUCGUUUUGGACGAGCAGAAAGUUUUACUCAAUGAGCCAAAAGCCGAGCCGUUUUUUUUAUACGCGAGUCAAAAUUUUGAAAGGAACCGUAAAAAUCACGGCACGUCACAGUAUGAUGUUUAACUAAACUUCGCUCAGAAUCGUGUUCCGUUAGGUUAUUGUUUGGUAAUGAUUUAUCGUCGCAUAUAGCAUACUAUUUAAACAACUCUAUGUAUCGUAUAUAUUUUUUUUUGAAUAAUAAUCUCCGUACAAUCGUUUGGUUUUUUUCCCGAUUAUUAACCUGAUGAUAUUGUAUUUGUUUUCAGAUGUUUCCCGCGAUCAUCAUGGCUGCAAUAUGAACAUAUUUUUUUUUUUCAACCGGAUAAUUAAAAAAAAUAUUAAACUAUAGUAUAAUAUUAUUAUUUCGUUGAAUUUCUAGUCAAAACAUACAUUAUUGACUAUUGUACAUGAUUUAUUAACAUAUUUUGACUGUCAUUUAACCAGUAAUAAAACCUACC